AGCAUGCAUCACAUGCAAGGUGCAGUUAUUAUGUGCAGGCAAAUUGUCAGGGCUCUGUGCUGAGGUCAUAACAGGCCUUUGCUUAGAAACACACGUCCCACACCAUGGAACCCUCCACAGCAACAGCCGCACUGGAAUUUAAUGAAGGUCCGGUGAUCGUAUCGCCACCUCAGCUCCGGGUCUGGGAAAUGUCAGGCGUACUGCGGCAGUCUAAAGCUCACGCUGAGCAAGCUAAGACAAGAUAAGCCUCUAUGGCGUUACAGCGACACCGGAUAGCCUGAUAACAUCCAACUGUCUUCAGCUGCAAGUCGCUACCCCCCCCAGAAAUUCAUCCUCAAGCACAGGAUCCUGUACUGCUUAGCUUUUCUCCAGCCUGAUGGGAAAGAGAUAAGUGUAAUAUUGUGUUUUGGUUAGAGCCCGAGCCCAGUUCAGCCAGUUUGGUUCAGGGACUGGUGGCACUAGUCGUAGAAAGCGCUUCCGUGUCAGGGUACAGAAUUGAAUGCAAUAUCGUCCAAGAUUAAUCUAUGCCCUGACAACUCUGUGCAGUGCUAAAGCAAUCUCUCAGGUGUCUGACAGGAUUUGGCGCAAAUUCUGGGAAAGCGAAGGUAUUGGAUUCUUCACUCCUUCCAGGAAAAAGGGGCUUCUUUCUGGAAUGUGAUUAUUUCAUAUUUGUCUUGCAGGGUCCACUUCAGAGGUAGGAAGAACCACCACAGAAGUGUUUGAGAACAGCGGCAUUGUGGGUAAUCUGGACCCUCACUAACCCACAACCAACCCUGAACUCCACAACCCUCUGUACUCUCUCUCUCUAUGCUUGUCUGCCCAAAAUAGGUAGAUGAUUCCUUAUUUUUAGAUCAUGCAAAUAACUCUGUCCUCAUGGAAAAAACACAAAGCUAUUUAUGCACGUAACUGACAUUUCCUAGACGAUUUUACAGCUUAGCAUCUGAAGCGGGCUGCUUUUUGUCUGGUUUAUUGCAAAUUCCCUGCUGUCAUUUACAGGGAUUUGGUGUGGGGGCUUGUUAUUAAUCCCUGUAAGUUUUUUUUCCACAGUACAUCCAAUAAUGGGAUAUAAGAUGGCAGAGGCGGGAUACAGAUCUUAAGGCUGCAAGCUUCACUCUAGCUAUAAACGCAAAUCUCCUACGUUUUUUUUUUCUCUUUAAGUUGCCAUCAUAUAAUAUUUCAGCCAUAAUAUUGCGACACCUAAUGCAGAGAUUCGAUCAAACACUCACUUAAGGUUCACUCGUUAUUGCAUUAUCUUUAAAUGUAUUCCGCAGGAACAAGAAGAAUACGUUAUAUAACUGGAAUCUAAAAGAGGAAAGACGAUUUUAAAAAUUUAAAAGUGAAUGAGCACGGCUUCGAGGCCUAUUCCCUGCAGGUAAACACUGCUCUCCCUGGAUCUCUGUAGUCGCAAAAAAAGUAAUUUCAUCACAUAACACGGAUUUGCUUUCAAACGCUAGAAGCCAUUAGGCAUUCAGGACGGCCCGACGAGCCGGUAUAAUACUGAAGGGCGCAGUCGCGUUUGACUUUCUGAGAAGUUACCGGAUCGCCAGCGAUGUUAUUGCCGAGGCUUGAGCCGGCCUCUCCGCGGUCAGCGGCCGGGGCUCUCUGCGGGCGUCCCUCCCGGCGCACAAAGCCGCCGUUGUGGGGAGCGAGAGCGCCGCUGAGGUUUUCAUUUCAUUUACAAAGCCACGGCGAGCUAUAUUAGGAUCAAAUUGACAGGGCUGUUAUGAAGAAAUUCGAUUGUGGAUUCCAGCUGCGCAUAAUUACGUGGGAAUUUCCUACUGCGUCCGAAUCAGGCGCGUUGCAUCUGAAUGACGGAUAUUUAAAAACACUGCAGUCGAAUAUAUAUAUAGAUAUAUAUAUAUAUAUAUACACAUACACUCAUAUAAACAUGAAGGUUUAUUUCAAUACAGCCUUCAAAUUGUUUAGUGAACAUUAUCAGUGAUGCUGUAGGAAGUUGCCCUAUUCUGAAAUAACACUUUAACAUUUGCACAAGCAUGAAAGCAGGUAAUUUGGAAGUUAGUUAGUUUGCAUGUCCCACCAUGCUUUUUCUUUUCUUAAAGAAAUACAUACAGAUAUUGUGGCGGGACAAAAGCUUGGGGUUAAACCAGCACCACUGAAGAAUUUUUCAGGGGUUAAAGGGAUUGCAGAGGGGAGUCAUACAGUAGAGUUGGGGAAAUUUAGGAUGAUUCCGAAAACUAAAUUUGGAACAUAAUUAGACAGGUCUGGGUUGGAGGCCAAAUAUGAUGUUUUCAUGAGGCCCAAAUACUCUAACGGUGACCCUGGAUCGAGGGCCAAAGAUGUAGCCGAUCUGCUGAACACGGGAUUCGAACCGACGACCUUCCGAUCACAAGCACCACACCUCCACUUUUAAAGAAGUGAAAAGUGAAAGACAUAAAAAGCAGCAUAUUUGAUUUUACAAAUCUGUGAACGCACUGAACACUUUACUAAAACAUAUGCCCAACGACAGCCUCUGCUUUGGCUAUAAUAGCAUUCUGAUGAUUAAUAUUUAUAUUCCACACACACUGUCAAAAGUAAAGAGGGUAUCUCCUUCACAUCCUGUUAAAGGGUAUAUCCCUGUCUUUCCGAUUCGUCUGACAAGCUGUUCGUGAGGUUAAUUUAAGAAUCUUUUCAUAAAUGAUUCAUGGGAACAGUCACAAAAUUAUACUUUAAAAGCUUCUCCUUAAGAUGUUCUAUAAAGGGAGAUCUGUAUAUAUAGACAGACACUAUAAAUACAGAGGGCGAUAACACAAGGGAGAAUGGGAUUGCUGGUGAAUUAUUUUUCCAUGUCUGCCCAGCCCAGUGGGGAGAGCAGGCUGGCUGUUUCCUAGCGGUACAACGACGCAACCUUUCAGCAAACAGCUGGAGCGAGCAGCGGUGAUGAAUACCCCAGUCGCAGAGAUGCUGAAAGGCGUUCUGCUGCGGCAGGAACAAGGUGAAAUAUUGACUCAUCAACGCAGUGAGCGCAGUAACAGCACCGGACGUAUCGGACGGGCCCGACGGUGAUGCUGUGACAGUAAUAUAUAUGGAUUUCAGGUUUUUAUACGGAUACCGCGUGUGCCGCUUCUUAGUGGGUCCCAUAUUGACGAAAGGUCCGGGCCCAGCAUUUUCACCAUUGUGACACGGCCUUCAAUCUUCUUUAUAUAUCACCAACGCUGGAACAGGUAAACAGAGAGCCCCGCAUUUUAGUUUCAGGGCCUCGCAGUCGGAUAAUCCACCAAUGCCUCUGUCCUGGGACACGAAUCCUGGUAUAGCUUGAAUCCCCCCGAAGUGUCGCAUUUAAACUGCCAAACACUGGUGCAUUGCAUUUCAUUUUUUUUUAAUUAUUGUAGGGCAAGACAAAAAAGAAACACAAGGCAAGCUAAGAUAAUUCGAGCUUUUCGUGCUACCGGCCUGAUACUUGGAGAAACACAUCGAUGGAAACUCUGGAUACCACGUUGCUUGGAGAUCCGUAUCGAGCCUAAGACCGGCCCUCGACGGCACCCCUCGGGGGCGACUUGGGACUCCAGAAACACCACUGGGCACUUAACAAAUUCAUUUUAGCCUUUAUUUGCACCGACAAUAUAGUAGAAACCAGUAUAACCAGUAUAAAAAAGAACCCUAUUAGGCAGCGGCACUCAUUGGUACACAUCAGUCUAUCCAUACAGUUUUCGAUAAACCAGCUGUCUCUUUAAAUAACACAGUAUACAUGUCACUUUAAGAAUAAAAACGUCUAUUGUCGUUUUCUGAUGAAAAGCACGUAUUUCCGCUUCAUCACAACUGUGACUUUUUACUAUAGACGGAAUGCACCCAUUUCCGCUGAUAGCAUUUGACAUAUAUAAUGGAGCAAUGAAAAAAAGGUUUAUGAAGUUAUCUAUUUAAGUAGUUUUAAGGUUUGUACGCGUUAAUGUGUAUUUGUGAUGGUCAUCUCUAUGGAUUUCUUUAUAUCACUAAUUUGAUCAACUUGCCGUUGACAGCUAGACAGCUAGCUAAUGUUACUGCUAUUUGAGAAUAUAAAGGGAGAUUAGUUUGUACCAUGACACUGACACAUUUGCCUUACUGAUAACAGUCCAGGUAAAGCCAUUUAAAACAUGAAACCGUCUACUGGCGGCGGUGAAAGGACAGGUUUCUGUUUGUGUGCCUCAUUUUGGGCUGAGAAGAUGCAUUUUUUCCACACUCCUGAAAUAAUGGAUUUUUUGAGAUUCAUGUUUUUCUUCCGACAGCGACUGUAUAAUAUAUAUGUGUGUGUGUGUGUGUGGAGUAAGUGUAUACUACUUUGUGGAGAACCCCCAGAUUUUAAUAUAAACCUGUUUUUCUGA